rnacentral:rRNA from 1 species
UGAGGAAUAUUGGUCAAUGGGCGAGAGCCUGAACCAGCCAAGUAGCGUGAAGGAUGACUGCCCUAUGGGUUGUAAACUUCUUUUAUAAAGGAAUAAAGUCGGGUAUGCAUACCCGUUUGCAUGUACUUUAUGAAUAAGGAUCGGCUAACUCCGUGCCAGCAGCCGCGGUAAUACGGAGGAUCCGAGCGUUAUCCGGAUUUAUUGGGUUUAAAGGGAGCGUAGAUGGAUGUUUAAGUCAGUUGUGAAAGUUUGCGGCUCAACCGUAAAAUUGCAGUUGAUACUGGAUAUCUUGAGUGCAGUUGAGGCAGGCGGAAUUCGUGGUGUAGCGGUGAAAUGCUUAGAUAUCACGAAGAACUCCGAUUGCGAAGGCAGCCUGCUAAGCUGCAACUGACAUUGAGGCUCGAAAGUGUGGGUAUCAAACAGGAUUAGAUACCCUGGUAGUCCACACGGUAAACGAUGAAUACUCGCUGUUUGCGAUAUACAGCAAGCGGCCAAGCGAAAGCGUUAAGUAUUCCACCUGGGGAGUACGCCGGCAACGGUGAAACUCAAAGGAAAUUGACGG